GACAGAAGUUGAUUUGUAGAAACCGCCCUUGAUAAUUGAUCGCAGCGACAGGUGUAAUGCGAAACGGUAGCGGGGGAAUUAAUCUGUUUGAGCGAGGGUAUAAAAGCCGUGAAAAGAAAACUAUUUAAAAGCAGUUCGGAAAAAAAUCGCCUACAUCAGAACAAGUGCUAGUCAGCCAACAGAACCAACACAAAGAAACUAACGAAGAUGAAGAUUCGCCAUGUGUGCGUUCUGAUCGCAUUAGUUCUCACAUUGUCCAUAUUACAGACCGCAGACGCAAGACCGUCAAGAAGUUGCAGAUGGUGUGUUAACAAUUUUAGGCUUUGCUCAAAUCUUUGCAAAACUGGUCUCUGCAUAAGGGACUGUGAUACAUUCAAGUUUCAGUGCUACAGGAAGUGUGUAAAAAGAGACGAAACAAUGCUCGAUUCACUGGAUGUCGAGGAAGUUGCAGAUGUAUUAUCCUAAUGUCACGCGAACAGAGUCGAAGACAAGGACAAUUAUGAGCAGGAUAAGGGUAUAAAUACAUAAAUUGCUUGUUGAGUUAAAUUCAAAACCAUUGAUCAGCAAUUCCGGUCAAUCUUUUAAAGUUGUUAAAAAUACAUUUGAACAAAGUGCAGAAUGACUCAAA